AUUGAACGCUGGCGGAAUGCUUUACACAUGCAAGUCGAACGGCAGCACGGACUUCGGUCUGGUGGCGAGUGGCGAACGGGUGAGUAAUGUAUCGGAACGUGCCCAGGCGUGGGGGAUAACGUAGUGAAAAUUACGCUAAUACCGCAUACGAUCUAAGGAUGAAAGCGGGGGAUCGCAAGACCUCGCGCGAUUGGAGCGGCCGAUAUCAGAUUAGGUAGUUGGUGGGAUAAAGGACCACCAAGCCAACGAUCUGUAGCUGGUCUGAGGGGACGACCAGCCACACUGGGACUGAGACACGGUCCAGACUCCUACGGGAGGCAGCAGUGGGGAAUUUUGGACAAUGGGCGAAAGCCUGAUCCAGCCAUUCCGCGUGCAGGAUGAAGGCCCUCGGGUUGUGAACUGCUUUUGUACAUAACGAAAAGGUUUCUACUAAUACUAGAAGCUCAUGACGGUACUGUAAGAAUAAGCACCGGCUAACUACGUGCCAGCCGCCGCGGUAA
rnacentral:rRNA from 1 species